GGCUUGUUUAGCUUGGAGAAGAGAAGGCUCUGAGGAGAACUCAUUGAAGCAUCCCAGUACUUGAAGGGAGCUUUUUACAUGGUUUGAUAGUGAUAGGACGAGAGAGAAUGGCUUUAAACUAAAAUAGCUGAAAUUUAGGUUGGAUGUUGGGAAGAAAUUCUUUACCCAGAGGAUGGUGAGGCACUGGCACAGGCUGCCAAGAGAAGCUGUGAGUGCCCCAUCCCUGGAGACAUUCAAAGUCAUGUUGGAUGGGGCCCUGGAUAGGCCCCCAGCCUUGAG
rnacentral:lncRNA from 1 species